UCUGNAACCCGACUACAUGAAGCUGGAAUCGCUAGUAAUCGCGGAUCAGAAUGCCGCGGUGAAUACGUUCCCGGGUCUUGUACACACCGCCCGUCACACCAUGGGAGUCGGAAAUGCCCGAAGUCUGUGACCCAACCUGCAAGGGAGGGAGCAGCCGAAGGCAGGUCGGAUGACUGGGGUGAAGUCGUAACAAGGUAGC
rnacentral:rRNA from 1 species